CUUACACAUGCAAGUCGAACGGCAGCACGGACUUCGGUCUGGUGGCGAGUGGCGAACGGGUGAGUAAUGUAUCGGAACGUGCCCAGUAGCGGGGGAUAACUACGCGAAAGCGUAGCUAAUACCGCAUACGCCCUACGGGGGAAAGCAGGGGAUCGUAAGACCUUGCACUAUUGGAGCGGCCGAUAUCGGAUUAGCUAGUUGGUGGGGUAACGGCUCACCAAGGCGACGAUCCGUAGCUGGUUUGAGAGGACGACCAGCCACACUGGGACUGAGACACGGCCCAGACUCCUACGGGAGGCAGCAGUGGGGAAUUUUGGACAAUGGGGGAAACCCUGAUCCAGCCAUCCCGCGUGUGCGAUGAAGGCCUUCGGGUUGUAAAGCACUUUUGGCAGGAAAGAAACGUCAUGGGUUAAUACCCCGUGAAACUGACGGUA
rnacentral:rRNA from 1 species